UAGAGGCCCAGAUUGGAAUUUAUCCUGCCUUUCCUUGUCAGCUCCCUGUGACACAGGAGCCUGUGAAGGAGUGUUUGAGCUUCCUGAGUUUGAGAGAGUGCAUAUGUGCAUAUGUCUAUCUCUUCCUGACAUUUUUUAUGAGAGAAGAAAAUUAUUUAGUUAUUUUAUGAAGGGAUAGUUUUAAGAAUAAAAACCUCACUAUUUAGUAACCUCUGGAUGUGUUUGACAAUACUUCUUGACACCCUUUUAUGAUUUAUGAGAUCCAAUAAACAUUGUCAUAAAAUA